GUGCUCACUUCAGCAGCACAUGUACUAAAAUUGGAACAAUAUAGAGAAGAUUAGCAUGGCCCCUGUGUAAGGAUAACAUGCAAAAAUGUUCCUCUUAUGU
rnacentral:snRNA from 1 species